CAGGAAGCUGCUGAUCACCAGCUUCAGGUGUUUCUAUUUAUUGGGAGACUGUCUUUCCCUGGCACCAGCUGCAACCAAUGAUUACUUUAGAGAGACAGUUUAACAACUGCCUGACCAUCACCUGAUGGUCAUCUGACAUUCCCAAUAAGAGCCCAGGCCAAAGGACACCUUGAUUUUGACCUUGUCAGACCUGGAGUUGAAAAACCAGCUGCACCCUUCUAGAAUUCUUACUUACAAAACUGGAGAUGUUACAAGACAAGAUGAUUUCACUGGAAGCUGAGUUUUGCCAGCUUUGGGGAAAUGCUGAUGCAGAACAUCAUUUAUUUAAGGCUGAUACUCAUGGAUAGAAGAGUCAAAGUGCGAAUAUAUGCACCCUUCUAUACGGAUUCUGCAGAAAGAUAUGCUUGGGUCAUGACUCAGACAAUUUGGAGAGAAUUCCCUGAAACAUUCACUGUACAACUCUACUUUCUUGAAUACUUACUAUAAUUAAAGUUCAUUUCUGAUUUACAUAAAGA
rnacentral:lncRNA from 10 species